GGUAAAGCUUUUUCUCGAGCCUGGGGGGAACAUCGCGUUACACAGCUCUCGCAGUUUCACGCAUUUUUCGAAGGAAUUUACCGUAGAAAAUUAUUGGAGGUUACUAUAUAUACAGCUACAGUAUAUCGCAUAAUACCUAAUACCGGAAACGAAAGCAGGUAAUAAAGGAAGCAAAAGGGUGGAGAGCAACGCUCAUAAAGAAAAAAA